rnacentral:rRNA from 1 species
UACAGAGGGUGCAAGCGUUAAUCGGAAUGACUGGGCGUAAAGGGUGUGUAGGUGGCUAAUUAAGUUAGAUGUGAAAUCCCCGGGCUUAACCUGGGAACUGCAUUUAAUACUGGUUAGCUAGAGUAUGGGAGAGGUAAGUGGAAUUUCCGGUGUAGCGGUGAAAUGCGUAGAUAUCGGAAGGAACACCAGUGGCGAAGGCGGCUUACUGGCCUAAUACUGACACUGAAACACGAAAGCGUGGGGAGCAAAC